rnacentral:rRNA from 1 species
UACGUAGGGAGCAAGCGUUGUCCGGAAUCAUUGGGCGUAAAGCGCGCGUAGGCGGCCCCGUAAGUCCGCUGUGAAAGUCAAAGGCUCAACCUUUGAAAGCCGGUGGAUACUGUGGGGCUAGAGUCCGGAAGAGGCGAGUGGAAUUCCUGGUGUAGCGGUGGAAUGCGCAGAUAUCAGGAAGAACACCAAUGGCGAAGGCAGCUCUCUGGGACGGUACUGACGCUGAGACGCGAAAGCGUGGGGAGCGAACAGG